rnacentral:rRNA from 1 species
CCUACGGGAGGCAGCAGUGAGGAAUAUUGGUCAAUGGGCGAGAGCCUGAACCAGCCAAGUCGCGUGAGGGAGUACUGCCCUAUGGGUUGUAAACCUCUUUUGUCGGGGAGCAAAAGCCGGACGUGGCCGGCUGUGAGAGUACCCGAAGAAAAAGCAGCGGCGAACUCCGGGCCCGCAGCCGCGGUAAUACGGAGGAUGCGAGCGUUAUCCGGAUUUAUUGGGUUUAAAGGGGGCGCAGGCGGAUUUUUAAGUCAGCGGUCAAAUCGUGGGGCUCACCCCCAUCCAGCCGUUGACACUGGGGAUCUAGAGUGUGCGAGAGGUAUGCGGCCUGCGUGGUGUAGCGCUGA